AUUCAUGGAAAUGAUGUUGAGGAAACACUUUCACUAAGUAGAUUUUAGCUAGAUAGCAAUUGUGAUAUUUGCAUUCUCAAAGUCGUUAGUGGAGCGUGUGUGGUUUACCGGCACACUAACAUGGACUUGUGAGAAGUGGCAAAGGUCUAAACAAUCAAGACUAUGAUUACGGCAUCCCUUUUCAUAGUUCUUAAAAUUGUUUAGACACACCUGUGAGCUAUCUAAGAUAAGGUGUAUGAUAUUGAUAAAGUUUUAUCAAAGCAAUCUAGUAUCAGAAAUCUGAACUUUGGUAAGAAAGUCAAUAAAGUAUUGAUUUCUAGAAGUCCAGCUGAUUUCUGAGUACAUGUCAAAGCUAGUGGGAGCAUAAGUGUUAUGCCAAUAAUCAUCAUGUUAGUAGGAGCAUGAUAAUUAUGAUAAAGGUUGCAAGUUAGCAAUGUUAAUUAUAGAAAACAAAAGGUUUCA
rnacentral:lncRNA from 1 species